AGCUAAGGUGAGGCCGAAAGGCGUAGCCGAUGCACAGACGGUAGAGAUUCCGUCACCACCAAAAGAGUUAAGCACAGGGACACAUUUGAAGUCUCAGAGCCGGGUGUUGGUUCCGGUAGAGAUCGAGGGAAGUUAGUACCGAAGUCUGGGAUGGAAGAUGGCGAGAAAAGCUGUGUGUAUUUCUGAGGUGCCCGUACCGCAAACCGACACAGGUAGGUAGGAAGAAGAUUCUAAGGCCAACGGGAGAAGGGUUGUUAAGGAACUCGGCAAAUUGACCCCGUAACUUCGGGAGAAGGGGUGCUCCAGAGAUGGAGCCGCAGAGAAUCGGCCCAAGCAACUGUUUACCAAAAACACAGGUUUGUGCUAAAUCGAAAGAUGACGUAUACGAGCUGACGCCUGCCCGGUGCUGGAAGGUUAAGAGGAGAUGUGCAAGCAUUGAAUUGAAGCCCCAGUGAACGGCGGCCGUAACUAUAACGGUCCUAAGGUAGCGAAAUUCCUUGUCAGGUAAGUUCUGACCCGCAUGAAAGGCGUAAUGAUUUGGGCACUGUCUCAACAGCCCGCCCGGCGAAAUUGUAGUACCGGUGAAGAUGCCGGUUACCCGCGACAAGACGGAAAGACCCCAUGGAGCUUUACUGUAGCCUAAUAUUGGGUUUCGAUGUUGCAUGCACAGGAUAGAUGGGACACUGGGAAACAAUCGCUUUGGCGGUUGCGGAGUGGCCGUUGGGAUACCAUCCUUGCGAUAUUGGAAUUCUAACCUGCGGCUCUGAAUCGAGUCGGGGGACAUUGUUAGGUGGGCAGUUUGACUGGGGCGGUCGCCUCCUAAAGAGUAACGGAGGCGUUCAAAGGUUCGCUCAGCUUGAACGGAAAUCAAGCAAAAGAGUGCAAACGCAGAAGCGAGCCUAACUGCGAGACUGACGGGUCGAGCAGUAACGAAAGUUGGAGUUAGUGAUCCGGUGGUAUGUGAGUGGAAAUGCCAUCGCUCAACGGAUAAAAGCUACCCUGGGGAUAACAGGCUGAUCUCCCCCAAGAGUCCACAUCGACGGGGAGGUUUGGCACCUCGAUGUCGGCUCAUCGCAUCCUGGGGCUGUAUUCGGUCCCAAGGGUUUGGCUGUUCGCCAAUUAAAGCGGUACGCGAGCUGGGUUCAGAACGUCGUGAGACAGUUCGGUCCCUAUCUGUCGUGGGCGCAGGAUAUUUGAUGGGAGCUGUUCCUAGUACGAGAGGACCGGAGCGGACGUACCUCUGGCGCACCAGUUGUUCUGCCAAGAGCAUAGCUGGGCAACUAUGUACGGAUCGGAUAAACGCUGAAAGCAUCUAAGCGUGAAGCCGACCCAAAGAUAAGAUAUCCCAUUGUUUCAAACAAGUAAGACCCCUUGAAGACUACAAGGUUGAUAGGCACGAUGUGUAAGUGGAGCGAUCCAUUCAGCAAGCGUGUACUAAUAGGUCGAGGGCUUGACCA
rnacentral:rRNA from 1 species